rnacentral:rRNA from 1 species
AUUGAACGCUGGCGGCAGGCUUAACGCAUGCAAGUCGAGCGAGCGGGGGAAGGGUGAGUAAUGCCUGGGAAACGGCCGGAUGGAGGGGGAUAACUACUGGAAACGGGAGCUAAUACGGCAUACCAUGAGACGUCGCGAGAGGGGAUUAGCUAGUAGGUGGGGUAAUGGCUUACCUAGGAGACGAUCCCUAGCUGGUCUGAGAUGAUGAACCGCCGCCCGGGACCUGGGUGUCUGUGCAGAAUCGUACGGGAGGCUGCAGUGGCGAGUCUUGCACAAUGGGAGCCAGCCUGAUGCAGAUAUGCCGGGUCUGUGCCAAAGGCCUUCGGGUUUUAACGCAACCUCUGCGGGGAGGCGUUACUCGCAGACUAAGACACGGCUAACUCCGUGCCAGCCGCCGCGGUAAUUC